GGAGCGGGGCGACCCACAGGCCCCGGGAGGGGGGGGGGGGGGGGCGGAGCGAAGGAGGCCCCGCCCACUCGUGAGUCCAGCGCCCGGGCCUUCGAGGAUCUCCAACAAGACCCAGGGCUUGGCAGGCUGGGAGUAAGGAAACUUGGCCGCUGGCCACCCCGAGGAGACUGGGAAACCUUUGGUCAACAGGGAGCCUUUCCUUGACUGGGAAGUAAGAUCCAAAACAAAACUCCCCAAGGCCGGAAAGGGAGGAAACGCCCAGUGUCGCCUGCAAGACUCAGGCACUGCUGCUGCCGGUCACAAGGGAGCCAGCCAGCCUGGACCGCCUGACGAGAGCAGGCGUGACCCGAACCGUGACCCUUCCAGGCUUGUUCACCAAGCCCACGCCUUUCAGUGGAGUAGUCUAGAGCUGAGACUAGAGCCAUAUCCUUUGUUUAUAACAUCGUUUUUGCUCUCGCCUUGCAGUUUUCCAUGGGUUAUGAUACCUCAAGUUUCAUCAACAUAAAGAAAAAUAUGAAGCCGGGCAGUGGUGGUGCAUGCCUUUAAUCCCAGCACUUGGGAGGCAGAGGCAGG